UUCCGGUUGAUCCCGCCGGACCUUACUGCUAUCGGGGUGGGACUAAGACAUGCGAGUCGAGCGUCUCUAGCUAUGUUGAGACGUGGCAGACGGCUCAGUAACGCGUGGCUAACCUGCCCUCAGGACGAAGAUAACCCCGGGAAACUGGGGAUAAUACUCGAUAGGUGAGGAUGUCUGGAAUGACUUCUCUCCUAAAGGGCUUAGAUACAUGCUUCUAAGUCGCCUGGGGAUGGGGCCGCGCCCGAUCAGGCUGUUGGUGAGGUAAUGGCCCACCAAGACUAUUACAGGUACGGGCUCUGAGAGGAGUAGCCCGGAGAUGGGUACUGAGACACGGACCCAGGCCCUAUGGGGCGCAGCAGGCGAGAAAACUUUGCAAUGUGCGAAAGCACGACAAGGUUAAUCCGAGUGGUUUGUGCUAAACGAACCUUUUGUCAGUCCUAGAAACACUAACGAAUAAGGGGUGGGCAAGUUCUGGUGUCAGCCGCCGCGGUAAAACCAGCAAGGGCGAAUUCCAG
rnacentral:rRNA from 1 species